rnacentral:misc_RNA from 1 species
GGAAGGAUCAUUAACGAAAUGUCAAACACGGGUUGUUGCUGGCCCCAAACGGGGCAUGUGCACGCUCUGUUUACACAUCCACUCACACCUGUGCACCCUUUGUAGUUCUGUGGAUCGGGAGACGCCGUCUUCCUUCCGUGGCUCUACGUCUUUACACACACACCGUAGCGACGUCUCAUGGAAUGUUUUUU